rnacentral:miRNA from 1 species
AGGUGGGAGGAUUGUUUGAGCUUAGGAGAUGGAGGUUGCAGUGAGCUGAGAUCAUGCCACUGCACUCCAGCCUGGGUGACAGAGCCAGAUUCUGUCUC